AGCAGCCGCGGUAAUUCCAGCUCCAAUAGCGUAUAUUAAAGUUGUUGCAGUUAAAAAGCUCGUAGUUGAAUUUCGGGAUUAGUACGUCGGUCGUGCCUUAGGUACGUACUGGUGUUACUGGUUCCUACCUUCUGACGAACCAUCAUGUCAUUAAUUUGGUGUGGUGGGGAAUCAGGACUGUUACUUUGAAAAAAUUAGAGUGUUUAAAGCAGGCUCGCGCUUGAAUACAUUAGCAUGGAAUAAUGAAAUAGGACGUUGAUCCUAUUUUGUUGGUUUCUAGGAUUGACGUAAUGAUUAAUAGGGAUAGUUGGGGGCAUUAGUAUUCAAUUGUCAGAGGUGAAAUUCUUGGAUUUAUUGAAGACUAACUACUGCGAAAGCAUUUGCCAAGGAUGUUUUCAUUAAUCAAGAACGAAAGUUAGGGGAUCGAAGACGAUCAGAUACCGUCGUAGUCUUAACCAUAAACUAUGCCGACUAGGGAUCGGAUGA
rnacentral:rRNA from 1 species